AAAUUUGAAAACAUUUAAAUUUAUCUUCCUAGAGGAAUCUUAAUAUCAAGAAAGUCUUGCUUGCCAUGUGGAGAGCCAGAGAAAGGAAUCCCAUUGCAUUACCAGAGCCAGAGAUGGGUUUGAGUGUCAGAGAGUGACCUUUUGGAGCAAUCCUUCCAUCCUUUAUGCAGUGACAAGUUUGUUCCUCUUCCCAUGUGAAACUUGGGCCUGUGAUCCCCCUCUGCCCCUCCCAGCAGAGGGUUUGUCAUGGCAGUGGCAAAGGAGCAGAUGGAGGCAGCAGAAGCCCCAGGAUCAGAACCAGCCACAUCAGCAGGCUACAGGAAGGAUGUUUCCUUGUUGAUAAAUCUCGUGUAAAGUGUUUGAUCUGCAUGAAAACGUGUGUAGCUCCCUGUGCAAACCAAGGGGAUUCCAAACUCUCUCUCUGUCCAGACUGGCAAAGCACACUCAGCUCUGUGGAUGGCCUGAGAUGCCCGUAUGCUAUGGAGUAUUUUUGGAUUUUUUUUUGGAUUAAUAUCAUGCUUCAGUGCACCCAUCUGUCUGUGUACUGGGUGCAAGUUUCAAAGGAAGAUAAGUGAUAUACAACCAGCUAAAAAUGCAGGCAAAAAUUAGGACUUCAGCAAUUUGAGUAGAUUUUGAAAAGUAGGGUGCUGCCAGGUUGAAAUGCUCAACAGGUUCAUGCAAUUUUCCAAGUAAAUGGAAGCCAUUUCAUAAAUACAAUUAAUACAAACCUGAGAAGCUGAAUAAGUAAUGCUUCUGGCCCUCCUUGUUCAAAGAGAUCAGGAAAACACAAGAGAGGCAAAAGGCAUUCUGGUGUCAUAACAGCCUGGGAUGUGAGAUAACUGCAGUGAUUUCCCGGAGACUACACAAAUGAUUUCAAAGUAGUUUGGCAGGUCUGCAGUUUGCAGAGCAAAAGCUAUGUCUGUAUUUUCCCACCGACACAUUUUAACCUACCCUGCAAGCUCUGCUUCAAAAGUCAAGUCUCUAGCUCUCUGAAAGCUGUGUCUUAAAUCCAUUUGGAGCAGCGGAUUCACUGUCUGUGUCGGGCUUGGCAAUGCAAGCUAUUAGCCUAGAAGUUACUGAGUGAAAUCAAAAAGCAAAAAGCCUCUAAGAAACUUAACCCACCCAUUUUAGCAGUCACUAAACCAGCUAACAAAUAGAGAUGGUUUAAAUUGCUUCACAAUGCCAGCUGCUUGCAGAAUACCUACCAUCCUCUUGAGAGGUUAAAAAAUAAUCUAUUUGCAGCCCUAAGGUUGAAGAAUGCAAUGAAUUUAGCAAGCUCA